AGAGCGAACGCUGGCGGCAGGCCUAAAACAUGCAAGUCGAACGAGCCCUUCGGGGUUAGUGGCGGACGGGUGAGUAACACGUGGGAACGUGCCUUUUGGUUCGGAACAACUCAGGGAAACUUGAGCUAAUACCGAAUGUGCCCUUCGGGGGAAAGAUUUAUCGUCAUUAGAGCGGCCCGCGUCUGAUUAGCUAGUUGGUGAGGUAAAGGCUCACCAAGGCUUCGAUCAGUAGCUGGUCUGAGAGGAUGAUCAGCCACACUGGGACUGAGACACGGCCCAGACUCCUACGGGAGGCAGCAGUUAGGAAUCUUGCGCAAUGGGCGAAAGCCUGACGCAGCCAUGCCGCGUGAAUGAUGAAGGUCUUAGGAUUGUAAAAUUCUUUCAGCGGGGACGAUAAUGACGGUACCGCAGAAGAAGCUCCGGCUAACUUCGUGCCAGCAGCCGC
rnacentral:rRNA from 1 species